rnacentral:rRNA from 1 species
UUUUCUACUUCAUUGAGAAUGAACAGCGAAUGUGAGUGCCAAGUGGGCCAUUUUUGGUAAGCAGAACUGGCGCUGUUGGAUGCACAAAACGUCAAGAUAAAGAGCCAGAUGGUCUCGCUCAUCAGAUACCAUAAAAGGUGUUGGUCGAUAUAGACAGCAGGACGGUGGCCAUGGAAGUCGGAAUCCGUUAAGGAGUGUGUAACAACUCACCUGCCGAAUCGACUAGUCCUAAAAAUGGAUGGCGCUCGAGCGAGCCUCUUAUACUUGACUGUUACGAUACAAUAAGCCAUUAACGGACAUCAUGUCGUAACAAGUAGGACGGUUGAUAUGGUUGCGUCGAAGGCUAACACGUGAGUGUGGCUUGAGCAGUCAUAUGUACAGAUCUUAGUGGUAGUAGCAACUAUUCAAAUGAGAACUUUGAAGACUGACGUGGAGAAAGGUUCCAUGUGAACAGCUAUUGGACAUGGGUCAGUCAGUCCUAAGAUGCGCUCGAAAGAGGGUUCCGAACGAGGAAUAUCUAUAUUCAUUUUUAUUCCAUCAAAUCGAAAGGGAAACAAGUUAAUAUUCUUGUACUAAGUGUCGGAGAUUGUUUGAUUUCGUGUCAAACAUAUGUGGUAACACAAACAAGCUCAAAUACAUCACAAGUGGUCCUGGAAAGAGUUUUCUCUUCUUUGUUACUUCAUCAGACGACCCUGGAAUCAGUUCAACUGGAGAUAGGGUUCAAAUGAAGGUAAAGAGUAGCCGUUCUUGCUACUUCCUCGGUGCAUCAUUUGUGAUCCUUGAAAAUUUGAGCGAGAUAGUCAAUUUCGCACUUAUCUGUACUCUAAACCGCAUCAGGUCUCCAAGGUGAAAAGCCUCUAGUCAAUUAGAACAAGGUAGCACAAGGGAAGUCGGCAAAAUCGAUCGGCAACUUCGGGAUAACGAUUGGCUCUAAGUGCUAGGGUGUUCGGGCUUGAUGAUAAAGCAGUAGACUUGCUAUUGGAGCUGAGCUUUCGGAUGCAGCAAUGUGUCUGAUCGUUCGGACUAGUGGCUUGUCUUGCUGUGGAAUCGUUUUGCUACGGUAUGCGGUUCGCUUGCGGGCCGUAUUACUUCGGGCAUCGUUUAAUAGCAAACUUAGAACUCGCUGCGUCUAGGGGAAUCCGACUGUCUAAUUAAAACAGAGCUUUGCGAUUGGCCGGAAAACUUGGUGUUGACGCAAAGUGAUUUCUGCCCAGUGCUCUGAAUGUUAACGUGAAGAAAUUCAAAUAAGCGCGGGUAAACGGCGGGAGUAACUAUGACUCUCUUCUGGUA